AUUAAUUUAAUUUGUUAAAAUUCGUGUUGGAUUAAAGUUCUGCGGCAAAAUGCGAACACUGUUGGUGUUAAAGGAAAAACUUCUAAGCAUGCAGUGUCAGGUACAGCGCGCAUGAGACGAGGAGCAGGUAAAUGAAGCAACGAAUAGAAAGGAUGUGGACGUCAGGAGUUUGACAAGUCGCAGGGAAGAGGCACGAAUGAGACGCGGCAGUGUUUACAGUGUGAGCGAGGGCGUGGAGCGGUGCGGUUGUGCUAGGUAGCGCGGGUGGGGGCGCGGGUGCGAGUGCGAGUGCGG